UCCUGUACCACGUAGUUAGGAGUUGCAACGCACACGUGAGAAGCUUCUCCCAAAAGGAAAUAAAUGAGGUUCCCUACUUGUUACCUGGUGUGCCUUUUGCGUGCAGCUUUUUUUCUGUUGCCUGCUGUGGCUUGCUUGGGUCAUGCUGAGAGUGAGGGCAGAGWUUGUUGUGACUGUCUUCUGUCAUGGUCAACUUGCUGUGCGCUUUUGGCACACACAGGCAACAAAGGAGACGGAAGGGGCGGGAGCGAUGGCCGUGUUGGCGGCAACAACACUGGCACAGGUGCAAGGGAGCAUGCACAUGAGUUGCUUUUUGUGUGCAGCUUUUUUCCCCUGUAGCCUGCUGUGGCUUGCGCAAGCAUGCUGAGUCAUGCUGAGGGUGAGGGUGGAGUUUGGUGCACAAUGCCUUCUGUCAUGGCC
rnacentral:lncRNA from 1 species